rnacentral:rRNA from 1 species
UACAGAGGUGGCAAGCGUUGUUCGGAAUUACUGGGCGUAAAGGGCGCGUAGGCGGUUCGUCAAGUCCUGUGUGAAAUCCCCCGGCUCAACUGGGGAACUGCACAGGAAACUAGCGGGCUUGAGUUCGGGAGAGGGAAGCGGAAUUCCGGGUGUAGCGGUGAAAUGCGUAGAUAUCCGGAGGAACACCGGUGGCGAAGGCGGCUUCCUGGACCGACACCGACGCUGAGGCGCGAAAGCUAGGGGAGCAAACGGG